AACGAACGCUGGCGGCAUGCCUAACACAUGCAAGUCGAACGAGACCUUCGGGUCUAGUGGCGCACGGGUGCGUAACGCGUGGGAACCUGCCCUUAGGUUCGGAAUAACUCCCCGAAAGGGGUGCUAAUACCGGAUAAUGUCUUCGGACCAAAGAUUUAUCGCCUUUGGAUGGGCCCGCGUUGGAUUAGCUAGUUGGUAGGGUAAAAGCCUACCAAGGCGACGAUCCAUAGCUGGUCUGAGAGGAUGAUCAGCCACACUGGGACUGAGACACGGCCCAGACUCCGACAGGAGGCAGCAGUUGGGAAUAUUGGACAAUGGGCGAAAGCCUGAUCCAGCCAUGCCGCGUGAGUGAUGAAGGCCGUAGGGUUGUAAAGCUCUUUUACCCGGGAUGAUAAUGACAGUACCGGGAGAAUAAGCUCCGGCUAACUCCGUG
rnacentral:rRNA from 1 species